GGAAGGGUGUCCGAGCGGCUUAAGGAGCACGCUUGGAAAGCGUGUGUACUUAACGGUACCGUGGGUUCAAAUCCCACCCCUUCCGCCA
rnacentral:tRNA from 1 species